UGCGGCGCAUUAGCUAGACGGCGGGGUAACGGCCCACCGUGGCGACGAUGCGUAGGGGUUCUGAGAGGAAGGUCCCCCACACUGGUACUGAGACACGGACCAGACUCCUACGGGAGGCAGCAGUGAGGAAUAUUGGUCAAUGGGAGAGAUCCUGAACCAGCCAAGCCGCGUGAGGGAAGACGGCCCUAUGGGUUGUAAACCUCUUUUGUCGGAGAACAAAACCCGGGACGAGUCCCGGACUGCGUGUAUCCGAAGAAAAAGCAUCGGCUAACUCCGUGCCAGCAGCCGCGGUAAUACGGAGGAUGCGAGCGUUAUCCGGAUUUAUUGGGUUUAAAGGGUGCGUAGGCGGUCCGUUAAGUCAGCGGUAAAAUUGCGGGGCUCAACCCCGUCGAGCCGUUGAAACUGGCAGACUUGAGUUGGCGAGAAGUACGCGGAAUGCGCGGUGUAGCGGUGAAAUGCAUAGAUAUCGCGCAGAACUCCGAUUGCGAAGGCAGCGUACCGGCGCCAGACUGACGCUGAGGCACGAAAGCGUGGGGAUCGAACAGGAUUAGAUACCCUGGUAGUCCACGCAGUAAACGAUGAAUGCUGGUUGUCCGGGUCGAAUGAGACCUGG
rnacentral:rRNA from 1 species